GAUGAACGCUGGCGGCGUGCCUAAUACAUGCAAGUCGAGCGAACAGACGAGGAGCUUGCUCCUCUGACGUUAGCGGCGGACGGGUGAGUAACACGUGGAUAACCUACCUAUAAGACUGGGAUAACUUCGGGAAACCGGAGCUAAUACCGGAUAACAUGUUGAACCGCAUGGUUCACCAGUGAAAGACGGUCUUGCUGUUACUUAUAGAUGGAUCCGCGCCGCAUUAGCUAGUUGGUAAGGUAACGGCUUACCAAGGCAACGAUGCGUAGCCGACCUGAGAGGGUGAUCGGCCACACUGGAACUGAGACACGGUCCAGACUCCUACGGGAGGCAGCAGUAGGGAAUCUUCCGCAAUGGGCGAAAGCCUGACGGAGCAACGCCGCGUGAGUGAAGAAGGUCUUCGGAUCGUAAAACUCUGUUAUUAGGGAAGAACAAAUGUGAAAGUAACUAUGCACGUCUUGACGGUACCUAAUCAGAAAGCCACGGCUAACUACGUG
rnacentral:rRNA from 1 species